AUGGGUGGCAGAAGAAGUAAAAAAGUGGGUCCAAAGGAAUUGCAGAAGAACAUCAAAGAUAAGUUCAAGAUAGAUUUACCAUACAUGAGGUUGUUCAAUGGUAAACAACAUGCUAUGGAUUCUAUUUAUGGGAGGUUUAAAGGACAGUUAGUAGCAGCUUGUGCAGUUGAUGCACACAGUUUUGUAUUUCCAGUUGCCUACGAUGUGCUGGAGACAGAGUCUGAGAAGAGCUGGACUUGGUUUUUGCAUAAUCUGCGCCGGACUAUUGCACAUCCCAAUGGGUUGGUCAUUCAUACAGAUGCCUGCAAAGGUUUAGAAGUGGCCGUGGACAAUGUGUUCUCUGGAGUAGAGCAUAGGGAAUGCAUGCGUCACCUUCCUGCAAAUUUCAUGAAGAAAUUCAAAGGAAAGGUGUAUACCGACAAUUUAUGGCCAGCAUCUUUGACUUGCAGUGUGAAGAAGCACAACUACCACUUGAGGCAGUUAUACAUGAAUCCCAAAGUGAAAGAAUACUUGAAAACACACCACUCCAAGUUAUGGGCCAGAAGCCAAUUCAGUGAACUGAGCAAAGUUGACUAUGUGCACAAUAAUCUAGCAGAGUCUUUCAACUCAACGAUCCGGAAA
rnacentral:rRNA from 1 species